UACAGAGGAUGCAAGCGUUAUCCGGAAUGAUUGGCGUAAAGCGUCUGUAGGUGGCUUUUUAAGUCCGCCGUCAAAUCCCAGGGCUCAACUCUGGACAGGCGGUGGAAACUACCAAGCUGGAGUACGGUAGGGGCAGAGGGAAUUUCCAGUGGAGCGGUGAAAUGCGUAGAGAUUGGAAAGAACACCGAUGGCGAAGGCACUUUACUGGGCUAUUACUAACACUCAGAGACGAAAGCUAGGGUAGCAAAUGGGAGUUAGAUA
rnacentral:rRNA from 1 species